rnacentral:rRNA from 1 species
CCUACGGGUGACAGCAGUGAGGAAUAUUGGUCAAUGGGCGAGAGCCUGAACCAGCCAAGUCGCGUGAGGGAGUACUGCCCUAUGGGUUGUAAACCUCUUUUGUCGGGGAGCAAAAGCCGGACGUGUCCGGCUGUGAGAGUACCCGAAUAAAAAGCAUCGGCUAACUCCGUGCCAGCAGCCGCGGUAAUACGGAGGAUGCGAGCGUUAUCCGGAUUUAUUGGGUUUAAAGGGUGCGCAGGCGGAUUUUUAAGUCAGCGGUAAAAUCGUGGGGCUCAACCCCAUCCAGCCGUUGAAACUGGGGAUCUAGAGUGUGCGAGAGGUAUGCGGAAUGCGUGGUGUAGCGGUGAAAUGCAUAGAUAUCACGCAGAACCCCGAUUGCGAAGGCAGCAUACCGGUGCACAACUGACGCUCAGGCACGAAAGCGUGGGUAUCGAACAGGAUUAGAUACCCCGGUAGUC